ensembl:lncRNA
GGGGGGGCUAGAGGGGCUUGAGCACCCGCCCCUUUCCUGGUGGGUGCCCAAAGUGCCCUUUUGUUGAGGCAACUUUAAAAAAAAAAAAUUAUUAUUAUUAUUUUUUUAAUGUGUGUGUGCGUGCGGAGUCCUGUCUGUGCCCCUCAACAAUAAUAUUUAACUAUUAAUCACAGUUUUGCUAAAUAAAAGGAUCUGGCUUGCAUCAGUCACAUGAUCACAUUUAACCAAUGAUCGCCCUUGACGGCAGAACGCGCUGGUUACGAGCCGGGAACGAGCUCACAAAGAGCACGCGCAUUUUUAGCCGUCCGGAGCUGUAGGAGAAACACAAGUUAACUCAGAGACACAGACUGAUGCGACAAAACCAUUACACCCAACUGUCAACCCCUGUCGAAGAGCACCUAUUUGGAUGCUGGACCAUCUGGCAGUCCCACAGGCUAUACCCGAAUUAUCUACCUGCCUCUCUGCCUCCACGCCAGGAGUUUUUUGGAUUUCACACCCGGACUACUCACCCCUCUACGUCAUCUUCGACCUCCUUUGUGACCCCGACCUUUUCCUGGAUCGAAUGUGACUUGCUUUCCAGUCCAAUCCCCGGAAUAGCUGUCCUCUCUGACCCGGACCAGAUCAUUACUUAGUUUCAGUGGUGGAACGUCGUACUUGUCCACUCUCACCUUUUUGUUUAUGAAUAUUUUUGGAAACAUUAAACAUUAUUUUUAAAAUCUA